rnacentral:rRNA from 1 species
ACGGUGAAGCCCUUCGGGGUGGAUCAGUGGCGAACGGGUGAGUAACACGUGGGCAAUCUGCCCUGCACUCUGGGACAAGCCCUGGAAACGGGGUCUAAUACCGGAUAUGACCUUCCUCCGCAUGGGGGUUGGUGGAAAGCUCCGGCGGUGCAGGAUGAGCCCGCGGCCUAUCAGCUUGUUGGUGGGGUAAUGGCCUACCAAGGCGACGACGGGUAGCCGGCCUGAGAGGGCGACCGGCCACACUGGGACUGAGACACGGCCCAGACUCCUACGGGAGGCAGCAGUGGGGAAUAUUGCACAAUGGGCGCAAGCCUGAUGCAGCGACGCCGCGUGAGGGAUGACGGCCUUCGGGUUGUAAACCUCUUUCAGCAGGGAAGAAGCGCAAGUGACGGUACCUGCAGAAGAAGCACCGGCUAACUACGUGCCAGCAGCCGCGGUAAUACGUAGGGUGCGAGCGUUGUCCGGAAUUAUUGGGCGUAAAGAGCUCGUAGGCGGCCUGUCGCGUCGGAUGUGAAAGCCCGGGGCUUAACCCCGGGUCUGCAUUCGAUACGGGCAGGCUAGAGUGUGGUAGGGGAGAUCGGAAUUCCUGGUGUAGCGGUGAAAUGCGCAGAUAUCAGGA